AGCGAACGUUAGCGGCGGGCCUAACACAUGCAAGUCGCACGAGAAAAGGGCUUCGGCCCCGAGUAAAGUGGCGGACGGGUGAGUAACACGUGGAUAAUCUGCCCUUCGGUGGGGGAUAACUGUCCGAAAGGAUAGCUAAUACCGCAUACGUCGGCGGGGCUUGCGAGCCCUGGCGGGAAAGCCGGCCACUCCAUGGAAGCUGGCACCGAAGGAUGAGUCCGCGUCCCAUCAGCUAGUUGGUAGGGUAAUGGCCUACCAAGGGCAGAGACGGGUAGCUGGUCUGAGAGGACGAUCAGCCACACUGGGACUGAGACACGGCCCAGACUCCUACGGGAGGCAGCAGUGGGUAAUAUUGGGCAAUGGGCGCAAGCCUGAUCCAGCCACGCCGCGUGAGUGAUGAAGGCCUUCGGGUCGUAAAGCUCUGUGGGGAGGGACGAAACCCUGCGACCUAACACGUCGCAGGCUGACGGUACCUCCUUAGCAAGCACCGGCUAACUCUGUGCCAGCAGCCGCAGUAAUAC
rnacentral:rRNA from 1 species